rnacentral:rRNA from 1 species
GAAGAACCUUACCUGGGCUUGACAUGCUUGGGACAGCGGCUGGAAACAGCGUCUCUCCUUCGGGAGCCCUUGCACAGGUGCUGCAUGUCUGUCGUCAGCUCGUGUCGUGAGAUAUUGGGUUAAGUCCCGCAACGAGCGCAACCCUCGUUACUAGUUGCCAUCAGUUCGGCUGGGCACUCUAGUGAGACUGCCGGUGAUAAACCGGAGGAAGGUGAGGAUGAUGUCAAGUCAUCAUGGCCCUUACGCCCAGGGCUACACACGUGCUACAAUGGUCGGCACAAAGGGUCGCUAAGCCGCGAGGUGGAGCUAAUCCCAAAAAGCCGGCCUCAGUUCGGAUUGGAGUCUGCAACCCGACUCCAUGAAGGCGGAAUCGCUAGUAAUCGCGGAUCAGCAUGCCGCGGUGAAUAUGUUCCCGGGGCUUGUACACACCGCCCGUCAUAUCACCCGAGUCGGGGAUACCCGAAGUCCGUGACCCAACCAUUUGGAGGGAGCGGCCGAAGGUGUGC